AGAGAGGAUGCUGCGAACAUAGCAAGCUGUCGCGGAGACGGGGGAGAAAACCCGAGCGCUCAAAAUUAAACUGCGCUUUUAGAGAGGAGAACCACGUAAUUUCAAUGGAAACACAGGUGACGAACCUCCUUGCCUGCUUUAUGAUUGGACAGAAGACUUAAAUCUGUGAAAAGAUGCUGAUGAUCAUCUGAACAUCUUUUAGGUAGAUAAAUAAUAGGCCAUAAGUCCAUAGCCAUCUGUGAUGGUGACACAGAAGCAACAAGGAUGAAGACCGGCACAAAUACAACACAGAAGAUGACAAGAGCUGGAAGUGGAGCGACCAUGACUGCAGCUCUGGCGAUACUGUAGCAGCACGGAAUGGUUUGUGGGUUACACUGAGAUGCAGGCCAUACUGUGCUGCCGCAGUAAAGCCUGAAUAUACAACCCGGCUGACACAUUGCAGUUCUUCAACCUGUUGAAGCUGACUUGUUUACUGUCGCUCUUGGAUUUAGUCUCCACUAUCCGAAGUAAUGCCACAUAAGGCAACUGUUUAAAAAGUGAGUUGGAUUUGCCUUUCUCUUUUUCUGGUCGCCUUACUGUAGCAGCACGUAAAUAUUGGAGUUAAGACUCUAGCUGAAGCCUCCAGUAUUGAUCGUGCUGCUGAAGCAAAGCUGACCAAUCACAAUCAGCGCAACCAACCACUACUCACCCUGGUGGUGUCUUAGUGCUGCAGAGAUGCUCACAGGUACAUCGUUCACACAGAUGUAGAGUUAAAAUGUGUAAACACUGUCUUUUUACAUUUCACUGUUCUGUCUCCACACUUGAGAAAUAAAAUUUGAAAUUGGC